rnacentral:lncRNA from 1 species
AUAUUAAGUAGACUACCACUAAGAAAAGCGAAGAAAAUACGUAGAAUUGAAAAGUGGUUCCUAUCUGCAAAGGAAAAGACCCCUCUUCCAGGUGUUAUCCGCCUAUUUAUACUCCACGCAUUGUUAUUCAGUUAUUUACAUGAUCGAGUACUUCCCUAAUUUCAUGGGACACUAUAAGCCGUUCUCAACCGCUCAAACCGCCUGUGGUUGGUUACCAUUUGUUCUUUGCUCUCGGUGCACCAAAUGUCUAGCUUUGGAGUUUCUGACCGUAUUGUGCACCGUUUUACCACGUGACGUCAAUUUAUUGGUACCAACACAAGCAUUCUAUCAUCUUAGUGCUACAGUCUUCUUUAAAAAUUUUAUUUAGAGGGCAAAACAAUAAUAGCUAACAAUUGCCUCAAGGUGCUUUCCAAAUUUUUAAAAAAUAGUUAUCUAUAUAUCUCUUAAUAUUUCUAAAAUUUUUUAUUUAUUUUUUUUCCAAAUAUUUCUAAAAAAUAAUAAUAUUAAUUUUCUAAACAGAAUAAAUAAAAAAAUUAAAAAUUUUACAGAGAUAUAUAAACAAAUAAUUUUUUUUUUAUUUUCACUUUUACACCUCUAAAAAAAAUUAAAUAUUUGUGAGGAUUAUAUUCC